rnacentral:misc_RNA from 1 species
GUGAGUCAUCGAAUCUUUGAACGCACAUUGCGCCCACCAGCAUUCUGAUGGGCAUGCCUGUUCGAGCGUCAUUUCAACCCUCAGGCUCCGCCUGGUGUUGGGGCCUUGUGUUUCUACAAGCCCCGAAAGACAGUGGCGGGCUCCGUAGGACCCCGAGCGUAGUACACCUCUCGCUCCGGGCGUUCGCGGCUCCCAGCCGUCAACCUGUUUUAUACUCCAUAAAGUUGACCUCGGAUCAGGUAGGAAUACCCGCUGAACUUAAGCAUAUCAAUAAGCGGAGGA